rnacentral:rRNA from 1 species
UACGUAGGGGGCGAGCGUUGUCCGGAGUUACUGGGCGUAAAGGGCAUGCAGGCGGUCGGACGCGUUUCGGGUGACAGCGGGUGGCUUAACUACCCGAGUGGUCGAAAGACGGUUUGACUUGAGGACGCGAGAGGGACACGGAAUUCCGGGUGGAGUGGUGAAAUGCGUAGAGAUCCGGAGGAACACCGAAGACGAAGGCAGUGUCCUGGCGCGUAACUGACGCUGAGGUGCGAAAGCCAGGGGAGCGAACGGG